GAAACCCCAUCUAUCGAGAAACUUUCAAGGAGGGAAUAUUUUGGGGUCUGCCAUUUCACCACUGAUGCUGCAAGCACCAACGAGUCAUCUGCUUAAGACUCCUUUCCUUCCAGUGUCCGCCAGAUUACAAGUGAGGACACUGAGGUUGUAAGAGAACUAAUCAUAAAGGGACUGUGCGUAUAUCUUCACGAGGACCCAGCACACCUGUUCAUGGAAUAUGAGGUGAGUCCAACUAAUGUAUCAUUGACAGCAGAAUUUAGAUUACUUUACAAGGACAAGUGUUUUGUUGAUUAUUUGAGUUGAUAAUUUGAGUCCCGGC